rnacentral:rRNA from 1 species
UAAGACGGAGGGUGCAAACGUUGUUCGGAAUCACUGGGCAUAAAGCGCACGUAGGCGGUCCGCUAAGUCAGUUGUGAAAUCCCUCGGCUCAACCGAGGAGCUGCACCUGAUACUGGCGGGCUCGAGAACGGUAGGGGUGAGUGGAACUCCAGGUGGAGCGGUGAAAUGCGUAGAUAUCUGGAGGAACACCGGUGGCGAAGGCGGCUCACUGGACCGUAUCUGACGCUGAGGUGCGAAAGCUAGGGUAGCAAACGGGAUUAGAUACCCCGGUAGUCCUAGCCGUAAACGAUGGGUACUAGGCAAUGGGGAUACCUAUGUUCCUCAUUGCCGGAGCAAAUGUAUUAAGUACCCCGCCUGGGGAGUACGCUCGCAAGGGUG